CAAAAGGAAGAUUCUGGUUGUGGGGGUGCUAAAUCGGAGUUGGAUAAAUACAUUAGUGAAGAACAAGAGCCUGAAGAUGAAUGUGUUGAGUUUAAGGUCUUAGAUUGGUGGAAAAUAAAUGCUCCUAGAUUUCCCGUGCUUUCGGAGUUGGCUCGUGAUGUGUUGGCUAUUCCGGUUUCUAGUGUGGCAUCGGAAUGUGCAUUUAGUACGGUGGACGUAUUCUUGAUCCAUUUAGAAGUUCAUUGACUCCUAAAUGUGUGCAAUCUCUUAUUUGUGCCCAAGAUUGGCUUAGAGAAGAGACUAAACCCGUUAGUGUGGAAGAAAGUUUGGAGUAUCUUGAGCAACUUGAACUUGAGAUAGCAAAUAGUGGAAGAGAUCCUUGCAUUGUUGAUGUUUGAUUUAGGGAGUUUGAUUGCAAUUUGCUACUAGUGUUCAACAAUGCCUCCUAAUGCUCGCUCACAUGUUUGGGAAUAUUUUGCGGUAGUUCAAGACAAUGAAGAAGGGCGUAAAUUAAGGUGCUUGACAUGUGGUAUGAUACUUAAAUAUAAUUCAAGAGUGAAUGGCACAUGUUCCUUGAUGAAACAUAUUGGGAAAUGUCUUGAGCGUCAACAAGAGAGGCAAAUUCGCCUUCAAAUUUGAGCUUGUGUUUUGAAUUUGGUGAAUUUCGGACCGAAUUGUGAUUGCUAGUGUUGUGUUAAGACAAUGGAUUUAAGACUUAGUUUGUGACAGCUAAUUUUUUGUAUUUGGAGCUAAAUUUUAAGACAUUUGUGUUGUUUAUUUAUGUUGUUUGG